AAACUGUUUUUAUUUUGAUUUGAAAUCAAAAUUUGGAUUUUUCCGCAGUUUUUGUCUUUGUUUUUGG
rnacentral:tRNA from 1 species